GACGAACGCUGGCGGCGUGCUUAACACAUGCAAGUUGAACGGAAAGGCCUCUUUCGGGGGGUACUCGAGUGGCGAACGGGUGAGUAACACGUGAGUAACCUGCCCUUGACUUUGGGAUAACUUCAGGAAACUGGGGCUAAUACCGGAUAGGAGCUCCUGCUGCAUGGUGGGGGUUGGAAAGUUUCGGCGGUUGGGGAUGGACUCGCGGCUUAUCAGCUUGUUGGUGGGGUAGUGGCUUACCAAGGCUUUGGCGGGUAGCCGGCCUGAGAGGGUGACCGGCCACAUUGGGACUGAGAUACGGCCCAGACUCCUACGGGAGGCAGCAGUGGGGAAUAUUGCACAAUGGGUGGAAGCCUGAUGCAGCAACGCCGUGUGCGGGAUGACGGCCUUCGGGUUGUAAACCGCUUUCGCUCAUGACGAAGCUUUGUGUGACGGUAGUGGGUAAAGAAGCACCGGCUAACUACGUG
rnacentral:rRNA from 1 species